AAAUGCGAUAAGUAAUGUGAAUUGCAGUAUUCAGUGAAUCAUCGAAUCUUUGAACGCACAUUGCGCCCGCCAGCACUCUGGCGGGCAUGCCUGUUCGAGCGUCAUUUCAACCCUCAGAACCCCUUGCGGGAUCUGGCGUUGGGGAUUGGCAUCCAGCCAGCCCCGAAAUCUAGUGGCGGUCCCUCCGCGACCUCCCCUGUGCAGUAGCGAUACCUCGCAGCGGGACAGCGGUCUGACCACGCCGUAAAACCCCCAACUUCUCAAGGUUGACCUCGAAUCAGGUAGGAAUACCCGCUGAACUUAAGC
rnacentral:misc_RNA from 1 species